GGCCGGUUGGCGAAAUUGGCAUCGCAGCAGACUACGAUUUACGAGCAUUCAAUGCUCUGUACAUCUGAAGGUUGCGGGUUCGAGCCCCGUGCUGGUCA